AGUGAUUAACUGGUCCGCACAGCCUUCGCCGAAGGGAGCCGGCAUUUCUUUGGAGAGCCAUUCAGCUUAGGAAAACAAUUCAGAUUACCUGGACAAUCGGGCAUUGUGAAAAGCACCUUGAGAUUCUUCGGGACGUACUCGUCGCCCAAGCAAACUGUGUCACGAGAUUUAGCAGCAAGCAUCCCCUUCGUUGGAUCCGUAGGUCCACUGACGUCGAUCAUCCGGUAAUAGGAUCAGGAAAGGGACUCGAACACUAGGGCGUACGAAGGACGUGCUGAAGUGCCGAAUAGACCUGUUGGAACAACCCGACCAGCGAAACAAGAGAGCCUUACAAGUAGGUUGCAUAUACAGGACGGGAUUGCAUAUAGAAACUAAUAUGCGUUG